rnacentral:rRNA from 1 species
CCUACGGGAGACAGCAGUGAGGAAUAUUGGUCAAUGGGCGGGAGCCUGAACCAGCCAAGCCGCGUGAGGGAAGAAGGUACAGCGUAUCGUAAACCUCUUUUGCCAGGGAACAAAGGCGGGGACUAGUCCCCGGAUGAGGGUACCUGAAGAAAACGCAUCGGCUAACUCCGUGCCAGCAGCCGCGGUACUACGGAGGUUGCGAGCGUUAUCCGGAUUUAUUGGGUUUAACGGGGGCGCAGGCGGCCUGUUAAGUCAGCGGGAAAAGCCCGGGGCUCAACCCGGGCGAGCCGUUGAAACUGGCGGGCUGGAGUUGGAGAGAGGUAGGCGGAAUGCGCGGUGUAGCGGUGAAAUGCUUAGAUAUCGCGCAGAACCCCGAUUGCGAAGGCAGCGUACCGGCUCCACACUGACGCUGAGGCACGAAAGCGUGGGUAUCGAACAGGAUUAGAUACCCCUGUAGUC